UGGAGGAGCGUUGGACUUUGCAUCCAUUGUUCCAUUAGACACAUAAGUUGCAUAGAUUUUCUGUGAAAUAAAAGGAGAGAGAUGUGUUGUUGGAUCAUCGAGUUUGUCCUAGGUUCUGUAUGGGCCCUUAUUGUUACCUGUGUUACUGUUCUGACUUGUUGCUGCUGCUGCGGCUGCUGCGGCGUCUUAGGUGACGUCGAGAGUAUGAAUCAAAGGUUGUUGCGCAGUUGAGACUGGAGAGUACUUGGCUAUUUUGCUCUAUAUAUAUAUAUAUAUAUGUAGCGAAAUUGGAACAUAUCUUGUUUUUGUGUAAUUACCUUCAUGUCUGAACGUGAAUUUCCAAUUGUCAUAUGUAAUAAUAAACUACGACUACUAUGCCCUUAAUUAUGUUUUUUUUUUGAAAGGGUCCUGAGGUUGUACUACGUACGAACUCUUUUCUAAAUCCCAUUUUUAAAUAAAUAAUGGGAUUAAUGGAAGCAGUACGAUCAAUGAAAAAUAAAUAAUAAUUUCUUUGUUU